rnacentral:rRNA from 1 species
GGGGGGGGGUGCGGGAUUGUCUAGGUAUAAGGCACUUUAUACUGUGAAACUGCGAAUGGCUCAUUAAAUCAGUUAUCGUUUAUUUGAUAGUACCUUACUACAUGGAUACCUGUGGUAAUUCUAGAGCUAAUACAUGCUAAAAACCUCGACUUCGGAAGGGGUGUAUUUAUUAGAUAAAAAACCAAUGCCCUUCGGGGCUCCUUGGUGAUUCAUAAUAACUUAACGAAUCGCAUGGCCUUGCGCCGGCGAUGGUUCAUUCAAAUUUCUGCCCUAUCAACUUUCGAUGGUAGGAUAGUGGCCUACCAUGGUGGCAACGGGUAACGGGGAAUUAGGGUUCGAUUCCGGAGAGGGAGCCUGAGAAACGGCUACCACAUCCAAGGAAGGCAGCAGGCGCGCAAAUUACCCAAUCCCGACACGGGGAGGUAGUGACAAUAAAUACUGAUACGGGGCUCUUUUGGGUCUCGUAAUUGGAAUGAGUACAAUCUAAAUCCCUUAACGAGGAACAAUUGGAGGGCAAGUCUGGUGCCAGCAGCCGCGGUAAUUCCAGCUCCAAUAGCGUAUAUUAAAGUUGUUGCAGUUAAAAAGCUCGUAGUUGAACCUUGGGUCUGGCUGGCCGGUCCGCCUCACCGCGAGUACUGGUCCGGCUGGACCUUUCCUUCUGGGGAACCUCAUGGCCUUCACUGGCUGUGGGGGGAACCAGGACUUUUACUGUGAAAAAAUUAGAGUGUUCAAAGCAGGCCUUUGCUCGAAUACAUUAGCAUGGAAUAAUAGAAUAGGACGUGCGGUUCUAUUUUGUUGGUUUCUAGGACCGCCGUAAUGAUUAAUAGGGAUAGUCGGGGGCGUCAGUAUUCAGCUGUCAGAGGUGAAAUUCUUGGAUUUGCUGAAGACUAACUACUGCGAAAGCAUUCGCCAAGGAUGUUUUCAUUAAUCAGGGAACGAAAGUUAGGGGAUCGAAGACGAUCAGAUACCGUCGUAGUCUUAACCAUAAACUAUGCCGACUAGGGAUCGGGCGGUGUUUCUAUGAUGACCCGCUCGGCACCUUACGAGAAAUCAAGUUUUUGGGUUCUGGGGGAGUAUGGUCGCAAGGGCUGAAACUUAAAGAAAUUGACGGAAGGGCACCCACAUAGGCGGUGGAGUCCUGC